UACGUAGGGGGCAAGCGUUGUCCGGAUUUAGUGGGCGUAAAGAGCGUGUAGGCGGCCAGAUAGGUCUGCUGUGAAAACUCGAGGCUCAACCUCGAGCUGUCGGCGGAAACCAUCUGGCUAGAGUCCGGAAGAGGAGAGUGGAAUUCCUGGUGUAGCGGUGAAAUGCGCAGAUAUCAGGAAGAACACCUAUGGCGAAGGCAGCUCUCUGGGACGGUACUGACGCUGAGACGCGAAAGCGUGGGGAGCGAACAGG
rnacentral:rRNA from 1 species